rnacentral:misc_RNA from 1 species
GAUGAAGAACGUAGCGAAAUGCGAUAAGUAGUGUGAAUUGCAGAAUUCAGUGAAUCAUCGAAUCUUUGAACGCACAUUGCGCCCGCCAGUAUUCUGGCGGGCAUGCCUGUUCGAGCGUCAUUUCAACCAUCAAGCCCUGCUUGCGUUGGGGUCCUGCGGCUGCCCGCAGGCCCUGAAAACCAGUGGCGGGCUCGCUAGUCACACCGAGCGCAGUAAUACAUCUCGCUUUGGGCGUGCGGCGGGUUCUUGCCGUUAAACACCCCCUUUUUACCAAGGUUGACCUCGGAUCAGGUAGGAAUACCCGCUGAACUUAAGCAUAUCAAUAAGCGGAGGA